UGGGAUUCUCUGGAGGAUUGGUUUGGAAGACUACAGGUUAGAGAGAAGGGGUUGUAACUGCUGGGAUUCUCUGGAGGAUUGGUUUGGAAGACUACAGGUUAGAGAGAAGGGGUUGUAACUGCUGGGAUUCUCUGGAGGAUUGGUUUGGAAGACUACAGGUUAGAGAGAAGGGGUUGUAACUGCUGGGAUUCUCUGGAGGAUUGGUUUGAAAGAGGUGUGUGUCCAACAGAAAGGUUUUGUGAAGACUACAGGUUAGAGAGAAGGGGUUGUAACUGCUGGGAUUCUCUGGAGGAUUGGUUUGAAAGAGGUGUGUGUCCAACAGAAAGGUUUUGUGAAGACUACAGGUUAGAGAGAAGGGGUUGUAACUGCUGGGAUUCUCUGGAGGAUUGGUUUGAAAGAGGUGUGUGUCCAACAGAAAGGUUUUGUGAAGACUACAGGUUAGAGAGAAGGGGUUGUAACUGCUGGGAUUCUCUGGAGGAUUGGUUUGAAAGAGGUGUGUGUCCAACAGAAAGGUUUUGUGAAGACUACAGGUUAGAGAGAAGGGGUUGUAACUGCUGGGAUUCUCUGGAGGAUUGG